rnacentral:misc_RNA from 1 species
CGUACGGUCGCCAUAUUUGUUUCAUCGCUUGCCGUGAGAGUCGGUCGUUGACGCCAUUUCAUAAAAUAAUUGUAUUUUCUAAGUGAAACACGGAUUUUCCCUGUUAAAUUGAUAGACUUGUGAUAACAGUUAAAUAUAACAAUCAAGAUGAGUUACGGGAGGCCUCCGCCGCGUAUUGACGGCAUGGUGUCUUUGAAGGUGGAUAAUUUGACUUACCGCACGACUCCAGAGGAUUUGCGUCGUGUGUUCGAGAGAUGUGGCGAAGUCGGCGAUAUUUAUAUUCCCAGAGAUCGUUACACGAGAGAGAGCAGAGGAUUUGCUUUUGUCAGAUUCUAUGAUCGGCGGGAUGCAGAAGAAGCACUGGACUCGUUAGAUGGACGCAUGUUAGAUGGCAGGGAGCUUCGUGUGCAGAUGGCUCGCUAUGGAAGGCCAUCUUCCCCAUACAGAAGCCGUUAUGACCGUCGCCGCAGCCGUUCUCGUGGUAACUCCAGGUCCCGCUCGCGGUCGCGGUCCCGCAGGCGCUCGUACUCUCGCAGCCGGUCCCGCAGCCGCUCCAGGUCCCGCUCCGACUCGAAGAGCUCUCGUGGCCGCUCAAGGAGCCGCUCUCACUCUCGCUCUCGUUCUCGGCAUUGAAGGGCUGAGUUCAGAGGAGCAGUACCAGAUUUGAGCUGAAGGUUUGUGUCGAGCCUGCAGCCUUCAGCUUAAGGGCGUGAGGGCGUGGCGUACGCGGGGAGCGAAGCGGUUUGCGGGGAGGGGGGUAUUGCUGUUUGCUGACAACUGCUGAUUUGCUGUUGUUGCCGUUCAUAAGUUAUGAGUAAACUUUAAUUAUUUAUUGACAAUCGAGACACGCAAAACUUAGGUGACUGGGACACAACCGCAUCGCCUCUUCUCUAGCAUUUGUAAACUAUUUUGUAAGCCUAUUUUAUACUGAGAAUAACAGAGGUCCUAUCAAACCAUGUCUUCAGUUUCACUUUUAAAUCUACAGAAAGUAACGGUUUUAUUAAAAUUGUUAAAUGUCAUCAACAAAUUAGAAUCUUCAUUUAAAUUGGGUAACAUCUAAAUGGGCAUUGACGAUAGGCGACUGCGGCAGACACGCGGUGUGGACUAACAUGUGCGUUUGUUUGGCAGGCCGGUGCAGCUCGCUGGCCUGUGUCCUGUGCUGUUUGCUGUGGCAGUUUCCCGUGCUGAUUGCUGUGUUUGCAGAUACGCGCGUCUCUAACUUUACCGGCAAUGCUACCUCCCCCAGCCCACCGUACGAGAAACAAUAAGUACAUAUGGAACAGGCAAAGGUCCCGUUUCUAUUCUUUUUCUGCAAAGAGCACCUUCUGACAUAGUUUCGGAAUAAAACGGACUUUUCUCUGUGACUAAUAGAAAAUGGUAUAUUUCCAACUAACAUGUUUUUUCGAGUACACAGGGUUACUCAACACAUUUUUUUAGAACUAACAAGAAAGAAGAACAUUGGGAACAUGGCACUGGAUUCUGUGUAGGUUUAUUUGCUUUUAAUAAAUAAAAUAUAGUAUGCUAUA